UAUAUCACACUUUAAAUUCCUCCCCACCACACUUGCCAUCCCCAAUAUCAUCCCUCAUUGUUCAAGCUUGUUUGAACAGCACACUACUGAAUUGACUGUCUUUCUUCUUCCUCCAACAUCUAUCGCACUGAUUGUUUUCUGAUCUUCGUAACCACAUACGAUUUUAGCGUUUGGACCGGCCUCGCAACCUACAAACCUAUGCCACGAAAGUGUGUACGCGUGGAAGCUUCUUUUGUUACAAGAUUCCAUGGCUGUUCUAUCUUCCAUUCAUUGUUGGAAUCGGUGAUCUCGGAAAUUUUAGAGAUGGUUUAGUUGUGAAAAGGGCUACUCGGUAACUGUUAUGAGGUAUGCUCUAAUGUGUGACACUCGUCCAGGUAGCUACUGUACUCAGAGACCGCCUAUAAAAAUGAUAUACAUUGGGUACCUGCGUACGUUAAAACCCACACGGAUAAUCAGGGGAAUUGAGUUGACCUAGUUGCUGAACAGAAUUACAUAAGCCACAAACGAAUGAAGCGGUGAUGGUCCUCCAAUUGGCUUGUAUAAGGAAGCGUUGGGAGAGCGGCGAGGAUGGUACCGGGGGAUGGGGCAUAAACCUUCUUCAAACACGCCCUCGAACUUGUCGGCUUCGCAACCUCAGACGCAAGAACCCUUUUCUGAGGAAUUUGUUAACAGUUUGUUCCAAACCCCGACCUUUCUGAAUCAACUUGACAACUAUCUUGGUUCAAAAGGAAAUCAAACAGCAAACGACGAUGAUUCUGAUAACAUAUUCGAUAACGAAGAUGAGGAUGAUUUCGACGGAUGACUUGUUAUUUUUAACGUUUUUACGCAACUCUAGGAUGAAUGUAGAACUUAAACGUUGUUUGUAAUUUUAUUACGUUUAGUAUAUGUUUUUGGCGUUUGUUUGCGUUGCGGAAAUUAGAAAUUUGGCAGCUUUUGUAGGGUGUCUGUUAGUAUGCUACUUUUUGAUAAGAUCUUUUACUAAUAAUUUUUUUAACGCUUU